rnacentral:rRNA from 1 species
UACGUAGGGGGCGAGCGUUGUCCGGAUUGACUGGGCGUAAAGCGCACGCAGGCGGUCGCGCGCGUGGGGUGUGAAAUCUGGCCGCUUAACGGCCAGGCGCCAUCCCAUACGGCGCGACUGGAGUGAUGCAGAGGUCGAUGGAAUUGCCGGUGUAGUGGUGAAAUGCGUAGAGAUCGGCAGGAACACCCAGGGGGAAACCAGUCGACUGGGCAUCUACUGACGCUGAGGUGCGAGAGCGUGGGGAGCGAACCGG